rnacentral:rRNA from 1 species
AGAAUCAACGCUGGCGGCGUGCCUAACACAUGCAAGUCGCACGAGAAAGGGUAGCAAUACCUGAGUACAGUGGCGCACGGGUGAGUAACACGUGAAUGAUCUACCUCCGAGUGGGGAAUAACUGAGGGAAACCUUAGCUAAUACCGCAUAACACUUACGAGUCAAAGCAGUAAUGCGCUUGGAGAGGAGUUCGCGGCAGAUUAGUUAGUUGGCAGGGUAAUGGCCUACCAAGACGAUGAUCUGUA